GAUGAACGCUGGCGGCGUGCCUAAUACAUGCAAGUCGAGCGAACGGACGAGAAGCUUGCUUCUCUGAUGUUAGCGGCGGACGGGUGAGUAACACGUGGAUAACCUACCUAUAAGACUGGGAUAACUGCGGGAAACCGGAGCUAAUACCGGAUAAUAUUUUGAACCGCAUGGUUCAAAAGUGAAAGACGGUCUUGCUGUCACUUAUAGAUGGAUCCGCGCUGCAUUAGCUAGUUGGUAAGGUAACGGCUUACCAAGGCAACGAUGCAUAGCCGACCUGAGAGGGGGACGGCCCAACCUGGAACGAGGACACGGUCCGGACUCCUACGGGAGGAAGCAGUAGGGAAUCUUCGGAAAUGGGGGAAAGCCUGACGGAGCAACGCCGCGUGGGUGAUGAAGGUCUUCGGAUCGUAAAACUCUGUGAUUAGGGAAGAACAUAUGUGUAAGUAACUGUGCACAUCUUGACGGUACCUUAUCAGAAAGCCACGGCUAACUACGUG
rnacentral:rRNA from 1 species